AUUGAACGCUGGCGGCAGGCCUAACACAUGCAAGUCGAGCGAUCGGCGGACGGGGGAGUAAUGCCUAGGAAUCUGACUGUUGGAGGGGGAUAACUACUGGAAACGGUAGCUGAUACCGCAUACCCUCGGAUGUGCCCAGAUGGGAUUAGCUAGUAGGUGGGGUAACGGCUCACCUGGGCGACGAUCCCUAGCUGGUCUGAGAGGAUGACCAGCCACACUGGAACUGAGACACGGGCCAGACGCCUACGGGAGGCAGCAGUGGGGAAUAUUGCACAAUGGGCGCAAGCCGGAUGCAGCCAUGCCGCGUGUAUGAAGAAGGCCUUCGGGUGGUAAAGUACUUUCAGCGGGGAGGCGUUACCCGAAGAAGAAGCACCGGCUAACUCCGUGCCAGCAGCCGCGGUAAUUC
rnacentral:rRNA from 1 species